CAUUGUACAUGCCCUUAGAGAAUAUCCCGUCCAUUUCACCCAGCUCGCCCUACUACCAGUCUCACCCGACCGACAGAGAGAGAGGAGCACCUCCGCCGGCGGUGGUGACCGUAGAGCUCACCGUUUCCGGCAGGGACCGGCGAUUCACGGAGAGCGUGCUCAGCGGGAGGUGGAUACCGGAUCCUGCUCCGAUUCCCCAAGACUAAUCCUGUAAGUCUGCAAAGAUUCGACGCCUGACUGUCAUGAUGCCUAUUUAAGUUGUUCCUUGUUGAAGCUGCAAGCAUUGCGAAUUGCGAUCAUCAGAAUGUUCCAAACGAACUGCUCAACAGAGGUUAAUGAGCACGGAGGUUCCAAAGACGAUUUGCUGAUGCUCUUUCCCAAACUCAGUAAAGUUUAAUACUUCCAAUUCAUUAGCUUUAGCUAAUGAUUUUUUUGUUAAUAUUUACUCUACUUUAGAAAAUUAUAUGAGCCGACGUGUCUCAAGGAUGUUAUUAUAAUAUUUUUGGGUUACACUGUUUCUGUCCCAGAUAAUGUUUUCACAUAACAUUUUAGUGAGAUUUUGCACAAUUAUUGUGCUACAUUUCAGUGAAUAAAAUUAUAUUGAAUAAGCAGUGUUAGUUCCGGAUGACAGCAUUGUCAGCACUCGUUUUUCCAGAGUCUCAGAAAUGCUUUUGCAAUAUAGUAUUUUAAUAGAUUUUGCAAACAAAGUAUAGCAGAAAUCAGGGAAAAAAAUUAUGUUUGCUAGACCAUGUCGAUCCAGAUGACACCAUUGUACAGGAGCAUAGUCUGUAGACAUGCAUUACCAGUGAGGUCAUUAACUGCUACUAAUGGGGUCAGAAGUACUUAUUAAUAGCUAGCAUCUAUGGUGCUUCAUUUUUGUGUUUUCAACUGACCACACAAACAACACACAGCUCCGCCAGUGUUCUCCAGCCACCUAUUUGCUAGUCUGUCAAAUAAAAUUUGUAGUUCAGAUUUCGGACACCAGUUAUGUCGCAUCAAAAAUGUCGCAUCAAUAACCAGAAGGCCCAUGAAAUAGCAAAAUUUACAAUUCCAAAAUAUUCUAGGCUGCUGGAUGGAUGUUUUAAUUUGCAAUACACAUUUUUUAAAGAACCACUUUGUUGAUUAUAGUCGAUGUGUAUUGCAACCACGUUGAUCAAUGGAACCAGUUCAUUAAUUUCAUAGGUUUGAUGCCACAGGCUUGAUCCCGUUCCUCACAUGGUACAUGUGGAUGCCAAGAGGCUGCGACGGUGUUACUCAAUCCCCGUUGAACCGGUAUCCAAGGUGUUCGACGACGACGACAACCUCCUCAUUGAGACCAUCGUCUGCCUCGGAUUCCCCACCACCCUCAUUUGCGCCUCCCUAUUCUGCAAGCGCUGGCUUUGGCAUGCCUCCGACCCCGCUAUCCUCUGUCGCUUCCGUAAGCUCCACCCGCCCUGCCUCCUCGGAUUCUACGUCAGAAGUAUGUUCGAUAAUAACCCUCCAAACUUUGUGCUGAUGCUUCCACAACCCCUAGAGCUCGACGCCGUCAUUCUCCAUGCAAACUUUAGCUUGGACACAUACAAGGGCAUUAGAAUUCACAUUGUGGACUGUUGAAACGGCAACAUCUUCAUCUGCAGCAGGACAUCCUCAUGUAUAGAAGUAGUGCACAGACGGUUGUACCUUGAUAGAGGAAUUUAUAUCUUGCCACAACUCCCGACUCGCCAACUUCAGCACGGCGGUUUCUACACUUUGAGUGACCUUGUCUUCAAGGAAGAAGGUGAACGUUUGUCCUACUUCUAUGUGUGCUUCGAGUCUAUCGGGAUGUUAACAAAAUCUACGGUGCACGUGUAUAAGUUCCAAGAUGGUUCCUGGUGCAUGCCUACCUCGUUCACUAGUACUCAUCUCCAUUAUAAUCCAUGGUACUAAGACAUCAGAUCGACAAUAAAAUCUAUAUAGCCUCCUUGAGCAACAUUCUUGUCUUCGAAUUGUCGACCUCAGGUUUCUCCAUAUGUCACCUUCUGCUGAUGAUUCGGGUGUAUAUCUUAUUUGUGCUAAUAAGCUUCAACUUGACAUUUGGCUGCACAAGAGGGAAAAAUAGUCGCUGGAGGAUACCAUUUUUUUGCGAGAGAUGCUUGCUGAUUUGAAGAUCUCAGAUCACACAUUUGAUAAUUGUCAUACUGAUGUUUUCCUUAUAAACCAAGUGGGGAACAAUGUUGGAUUUGUGUUCUUGCAGAUUGGACGAUCUAUACUCUACUUGGACACUAAGUGCAGGACAUUGCGUAAAGUUUAUGGGAUUGAAAGAGAGGGUAUACUACAUCGUAUCCAUCCUUUCUUUAUGAUCUGGCCUCCCACAUUCCCUAUGCGCAAGGACGAUAUUGCAAGUGAGAUCACAUCAAGAUGAGGAAGGUGCAGCUGAGCAGCUGCUGUUAGUUAUGUGGUAUUAAGGACCGCCUCAGACAAGUGUUGUAUUUGCUUCAGCGAAAGCAAGCCAAAGUUACUUCAGGGCUGAGUUAGCAACGUAAAGCUCUAGCAAAUAAAUGGAUUGUCAGUUAGAGAACACAACUGAACUUUCAGCUUUCACUACUUUUCCUUGUGGUUGGCAAAUGUGCUUAAUUGUGUCUUGUACUCUUGUGGGACCAUAUCACCCUUGCAUUACUGUUACUGCUAUCAAGAUGAGCGUUGGAUUCGCUUCAGUU